rnacentral:tRNA from 1 species
UACCUAGAUAGUUUAAACAAAACAUCGGUCUUGUAAGCCGAAACCGAAGCCUAGCCCCUUCUCAAGGUAC